GACGAACGCUGGCGGCGUGCUUAACACAUGCAAGUCGAACGCUGAAGCUCAGCUUUUGUUGGGUGGAUGAGUGGCGAACGGGUGAGUAACACGUGAGUAACCUGCCUCCUUCUUUGGGAUAACGCCCGGAAACGGGUGCUAAUACUGGAUAUUCACUGGUCUUCGCAUGGGGGUUGGUGGAAAGGGUUUUUCUGGUGGGGGAUGGGCUCGCGGCCUAUCAGCUUGUUGGUGGGGUGAUGGCCUACCAAGGCUUUGACGGGUAGCCGGCCUGAGAGGGUGACCGGUAACAUUGGGACUGAGAUACGGCCCAGACUCCUACGGGAGGCAGCAGUGGAGAAUAUUGCACAAUGGGCGCAAGCCUGAUGCAGCGACGCAGCGUGAGGGAUGGAGGCCUUCGGGUUGUGAACCUCUUUCGCUCAUGGUCAAGCCGCAACAAUGGUUGUGGUGAGGGUAGUGGGUAAAGAAGCGCCGGCUAACUACGUG
rnacentral:rRNA from 1 species